UACAGAGGUGGCAAGCGUUGUUCGGAAUUACUGGGCGUAAAGGGCGCGUAGGCGGCUGUCUAAGUCGGACGUGAAAUCCCCCGGCUCAACCUGGGAAUUGCGUCCGAUACUGGGCGGCUCGAGUGCGGGAGAGGGAUGUGGAAGUCCAGGUGUAGCGGUGAAAUGCGUAGAUAUCUGGAGGAACACCGGUGGCGAAGGCGGCAUCCUGGACCGACACUGACGCUGAGGCGCGAAAGCUAGGGUAGCAAACAGG
rnacentral:rRNA from 1 species